rnacentral:rRNA from 1 species
AUUGAACGCUGGCGGCAUGCCUUACACAUGCAAGUCGAACGGCAGCACGGGAGCAAUCCUGGUGGCGAGUGGCGAACGGGUGAGUAAUAUAUCGGAACGUGCCCAGUCGUGGGGGAUAACGUAGCGAAAGCUACGCUAAUACCGCAUACGAUCUAUGGAUGAAAGCGGGGGCUCGCAAGACCUCGCGCGAUUGGAGCGGCCGAUAUCAGAUUAGGUAGUUGGUGAGGUAAAGGCUCACCAAGCCGACGAUCUGUAGCUGGUCUGAGAGGACGACCAGCCACACUGGGACUGAGACACGGCCCAGACUCCUACGGGAGGCAGCAGUGGGGAAUUUUGGACAAUGGGCGCAAGCCUGAUCCAGCAAUGCCGCGUGCAGGAUGAAGGCCUUCGGGUUGUAAACUGCUUUUGUACGGAGCGAAAAGGCUUCCACUAAUACUGGGGGCUCAUGACGGUACCGUAAGAAUAAGCACCGGCUAACUACGUGCCAGCAGCCGCGGUAAAAC